rnacentral:rRNA from 1 species
UGUGACUGCGUACAUUUUGUAUAAUGGGUCAACGAAUUAAAUUCAGUAGCGAGCUUAACCGGAUAGGGGAGUCGUAGGGAAACCGAGUCUUAAUAGGGCGAUGAGUUGCUGGGUGUAGACCCGAAACCGAGUUAUCUAUCCAUGGCCAGGUUGAAGGUGCCGUAACAGGUACUGGAGGACCGAACCCACGCAUGUUUCAAAAUGCGGGUAUGAGCUGUGGGUAGGGUUGAAAGGCUA